AUUCUUACAGUACCGUCAGUUACCCACACGUGGGUAAGUUUCUUCCUGUAUAAAAGCAGUUUACAACCCAUAGGGCAGUCUUCCUGCACGCGGCAUGGCUGGGUCAGAGUUGCCUCCAUUGCCCAAUAUUCCU
rnacentral:rRNA from 1 species